GCAAUAAGUAUCUCAAGAAGACCUUACACGGUCAAUCCUUUCCUUUUUCUUGAUUAUCUUUCCACGAUAGUCAGCAAAGGUACUUAUAUUGCAGUGAGCAGCGGCUAUGCAGAGAGGUAUUGAACGACUCGUUCGCGAGGUACCAUUGACUUGUUUUUCUAUCUGCUUCUUCCAUGUCUACCUCUCUUCCUUCAACACGCCUCUUUUAUUCACGAUCGACGCUCAAUUCGUUAGCGAUCGGACGGGGAAAGGGAGGCAAGAUAUAACACCAGUUAUGACCCAGGGCAUGCACUCUGACUUUAGUCGGUCGGAGAUGAUGUUCAUGGGGCUUGUGAUUUUAGAGUCAUAAGCUGUUGGGUGGACUGGGACAUCGCCUGCAUUGGAUUCAUAGAGUCAAUACAAUUUCGUGAUGUUAAUAAUUUCAUUAU
rnacentral:sRNA from 1 species